UCUAAUGUGACAGAAUAAUGUGCUAGUUUUAAGAACUAUUUAUAGCUUGGCUCUUUAGAA
rnacentral:tRNA from 1 species